UACGUAGGGACCGAGCGUUGUCCGGAUUCAUUGGCGUAAAGAGCUCGUAGGCGGCCACUCAAGUCGAAUGUGAAACCUCGAGGCUUAACCUCGAGCCUGCAUUCGAUACUGGGCGGCUAGAGUCUGGUAGGGGGAUCUGGAAUUCCUGGUGUAGCGGUGGAAUGCGCAGAUAUCAGGAGGAACACCGGUGGCGAAGGCGGGAUCCUGGGCCAGUACUGACGCUGAGGAGACGAAAGCGGUGGGGAGCAAACAGGG
rnacentral:rRNA from 1 species